GCUGCAGAGCUGCCGGAGGAGUAUCAGCGACGCUUGGGGCUGCACUGCUAGGUUCACCCCCUCGACCUGGAGUCCAGCUAUGCCAGGUUGGCUGAACUCUUCCCCACCCACAAAGGAGGCUGCAGAAGGCGCCAGGGCUGCUGGAGCUGGAGCCAGGGCCUCCUGCCCCCAACAGGAUUCCUCACAUCCCAGGACCAGCUGGAAAAGGUGGUGAGAGUUGGAAAGAGACUGCUCAGUGAGGACUGCC